CUGAAGGACCCCCAAACAAUGGUGAAAGAUUAGUGGAAGCACACACAACUGUGUUUGGCAUGUCCCUGAUCAUUCUGCAAAAGAGCGGUCAGAUGAGGCAAGGGCUUCCACUAGUUCUCUGGCACAUAGUGCAGUUUGUGGAGAAGCAUGGACUCAAUCAGACUGGGCUGUUCAGAGUUGGUUGGUUUGUGAAACGCUGCCAAGCGCUGAGUUAGAGUUUUGAUCAAGGGGAGGUUUCAGACCUCGAUGAUGAAGAUAUUCCAACUCUGGCCUCCUUAUUAAAACUUUUCCUAAUAUUAGGGAACUGCCAAGUGGACUGAUACCAGAUACACACAGGACACAAUUAUUGGAAGUCUUCAGGGAUUCCAAAUAAGGAGAACUGAAUCUGACUUUGAAGAACAUCCUGAGCAGUCUCCCUGAGGAGAAUUAUAACAUCCUGUGCUACCUGAUGUACUUCCUGUCCCUUGUGGCUGCUAAUAGUAAUUUAAACCUUAUGACCUCGAGUAACUUGGCAGUAGUGU